UACGAAGGGGGCUAGCGUUGCUCGGAAUCACUGGGCGUAAAGCGCACGUAGGCGGGUUGUUAAGUCGGGGGUGAAAUCCUGGAGCUCAACUCCAGAACUGCCUUCGAUACUGGCGACCUUGAGUCCGGGAGAGGUGAGUGGAACUCCGAGUGUAGAGGUGAAAUUCGUAGAUAUUCGGAAGAACACCAGUGGCGAAGGCGGCUCACUGGCCCGGUACUGACGCUGAGGUGGCGAAAGCGUGGGGAGCAAACAGG
rnacentral:rRNA from 1 species